GCCCUACGGGGGGCAGCAGUGAGGAAUAUUGGUCAAUGGCCGGAAGGCUGAACCAGCCAAGCCGCGUGAAGGACGAAGGUGCCAAGCAUUGUAAACUUCUUUUGUCAAGGGACAAAAUCAGGCUCGAGAGCCUGACCGAGGGUACUUGAAGAAAAAGCAUCGGCUAACUCCGUGCCAGCAGCCGCGGUAAUACGGAGGAUGCGAGCGUUAUCCGGAUUUACUGGGUGUAAAGGGUGCGCAGGCGGGCUGUUAAGCCGGCGGUAAAAAUUCAGGGCUCAACCCUGUCGAGCCGUCGGAACUGGCAG
rnacentral:rRNA from 1 species